GCUGGSUGGAUUAGUGGCGAACGGGUGAGUAACACGUGAGUAACCUGCCCUUAACUCUGGGAUAAGCCUGGGAAACUGGGUCUAAUACCGGAUAGGAGCGCCUACCGCAUGGUGGGUGUUGGAAAGAUUUAUCGGUUUUGGAUGGACUCGCGGCCUAUCAGCUUGUUGGUGAGGUAAUGGCUCACCAAGGCGACGACGGGUAGCCGGCCUGAGAGGGUGACCGGCCACACUGGGACUGAGACACGGCCCAGACUCCUACGGGAGGCAGCAGUGGGGAAUAUUGCACAAUGGGCGAAAGCCUGAUGCAGCGACGCCGCGUGAGGGAUGACGGCCUUCGGGUUGUAAACCUCUUUCAGUAGGGAAGAAGCGAAAGUGACGGUACCUGCAGAAGAAGCACCGGCUAACUACGUGCCAGCAGCCGCGGUAAUACGUAGGGUGCGAGCGUUAUCCGGAAUUAUUGGGCGUAAAGAGCUCGUAGGCGGUUUGUCGCGUCUGUCGUGAAAGUCCGGGGCUUAACCCCGGAUCUGCGGUGGGUACGGGCAGACUAGAGUGCAGUAGGGGAGACUGGAAUUCCUGGUGUAGCGGUGGAAUGCGCAGAUAUCAGGAGGAACACCGAUGGCGAAGGCAGGUCUCUGGGCUGUAACUGACGCUGAGGAGCGAAAGCAUGGGGAGCGAACAGGAUUAGAUACCCUGGUAGUCCAUGCCGUAAACGUUGGGCACUAGGUGUGGGGACCAUUCCACGGUUUCCGCGCCGCAGCUAACGCAUUAAGUGCCCCGCCUGGGGAGUACGGCCGCAAGG
rnacentral:rRNA from 1 species